ACACAUGCAAGUCGAACGGAGCUGUUUUCUCUGAAGUUUUCGGAUGGAAGAGAGUUCAGCUUAGUGGCGAACGGGUGAGUAACACGUGAGCAACCUGCCUUUCAGUGGGGGACAACAUUUGGAAACGAAUGCUAAUACCGCAUAAGACCACAGUGUCGCAUGGCACAGGGGUCAAAGGAUUUAUCCGCUGAAAGAUGGGCUCGCGUCCGAUUAGCUAGAUGGUGAGGUAACGGCCCACCAUGGCGACGAUCGGUAGCCGGACUGAGAGGUUGAACGGCCACAUUGGGACUGAGACACGGCCCAGACUCCUACGGGAGGCAGCAGUGGGGAAUAUUGCACAAUGGGGGAAACCCUGAUGCAGCGACGCCGCGUGGAGGAAGAAGGUCUUCGGAUUGUAAACUCCUGUCCCAGGGGACGAUAAUGACGGUACCCUGGGAGGAAGCACCGGCUAACUACGUGCCAGCAGCCGCGGUAAAACGUAGGGUGCAAGCGUUGUCCGGAAUUACUGGGUGUAAAGGGAGCGCAGGCGGAUUGGCAAGUUGGGAGUGAAAUCUAUGGGCUCAACCCAUAAAUUGCUUUCAAAACUGUCAGUCUUGAGUGGUGUAGAGGUAGGCGGAAUUCCCGGUGUAGCGGUGGAAUGCGUAGAUAUCGGGAGGAACACCAGUGGCGAAGGCGGCCUACUGGGCACUAACUGACGCUGAGGCUCGAAAGCAUGGGUAGCAAACAGGAUUAGAUACCCUGGUAGUCCAUGCCGUAAACGAUGAUUACUAGGUGUGGGAGGAUUGACCCCUUCCGUGCCGCA
rnacentral:rRNA from 1 species